rnacentral:rRNA from 1 species
UACGUAGGGGCAAGCGUUGUCCGGAUUUAUUGGGCGUAAAGAGCUCGUAGGCGGUCUGUCGCGUCGGCUGUGAAAACCCGGGGCUCAACCCCGGGCCUGCAGUCGAUACGGGCAGACUAGAGUGUGGUAGGGGAGACUGGAAUUCCUGGUGUAGCGGUGAAAUGCGCAGAUAUCAGGAGGAACACCGGUGGCGAAGGCGGGUCUCUGGGCCAUAACUGACGCUGAGGAGCGAAAGCGUGGGGAGCGAACAGG